rnacentral:rRNA from 1 species
GGAGGGUGCAAGCGUUAUCCGGAUUCACUGGGUUUAAAGGGUGCGUAGGAGGGCAGGUAAGUCAGUGGUGAAAUCCCCGAGCUUAACUUGGGAACUGCCGUUGAUACUAUCUGUCUUGAAUAUUGUGGAGGUAAGCGGAAUAUGUCAUGUAGCGGUGAAAUGCUUAGAUAUGACAUAGAACACCAAUUGCGAAGGCAGCUUACUACACAACUAUUGACUCUGAUGCACGAAAGCGUGGGGAUCAAACAGGAUUAGAUACCCUGGUAGUCCACGCCCUAAACGAUGGAUACUCGACAUCAGCGAUACACUGUUGGUGUCUGAGCGAAAGCAUUAAGUAUCCCACCUGGGAAGUACGACCGCAAGGUUG